rnacentral:rRNA from 1 species
UACGGGGGGGGCAAGCGUUGUUCGGAAUUACUGGGCGUAAAGCGUGCGCAGGCGGUUUUGUUAGCCAGAUGGGAAAUCCCCGGGCUUAACCUGGGAAUGGCAUUUGGGACUGCAAGGCUUGAGUGCGGCAGAGGAGACUGGAAUUCCUGGUGUAGCAGUGAAAUGCGUAGAUAUCAGGAGGAAUACCGAUGGCGAAGGCAGGUCUCUGGGCUGACACUGACGCUCAUGCACGAAAGCGUGGGGAGCAAACAGG